rfam:Pteropus alecto contig85496, whole genome shotgun sequence.
GUCUACGGCCAAGCUACCUUGAACAAGCCCGAUCCUGUCUGAUCUCGGAAGCUACGCAGGGUUGGGCCUGGUUAGUACUUGAAUGGGAGACCACCUAGGAAGACCAGGUGCUGUAGGUG